AUUGAACGCUGGCGGCAUGCCUUACACAUGCAAGUCGAACGGCAGCACGGGGGCGAACCCUCGGUGGCGAGUGGCGAACGGGUGAGUAAUACAUCGGAACGUGCCCGAUAGUGGGGGAUAGCUCGGCGAAAGCCGGAUUAAUACCGCAUACGACCUACGGGUGAAAGCGGGGGAUCGCAAGACCUCGCGCUAUCAGAGCGGCCGAUGUCAGAUUAGGUUGUUGGUGGGGAAUGGCCUACCAAGGCGACGAUCGGUAGCUGGUCUGAGAGGACGACCAGCCACACUGGGACUGAGACACGGCCCAGACUCCUACGGGAGGCAGCAGUGGGGAAUAUUGGACAAUGGGCGCAAGCCUGAUCCAGCGAUGCCGCGUGUGUGAAGAAGGCCUGCGGGUUGUAAAGCACUUUCAGUAGGGAAGAAAGCCGAGUGCUAAUAUCACUCGGU
rnacentral:rRNA from 1 species